AAAUGGGAAGUCUGAAUGGGAGAACGUGUGCGUUGCAUGCUUUCUUCUCACGUUCCAGCCACCUGGCUCACCCGGAACACACUUUAACUUCAGUGAGCCAUUGGUUCCUCAAGUUGAUUUUUUCUUCGUCCAAGGCUGUGAGAUCGCCUUGGAAGAAUAUUAAACAAGGACCAGAUCUCAGACCGAAAAUUCCAAGAGGACAGAACCUUCCGCGUUUGGUUGUACUGCAAUCAAUACAAGAUGGAUAUAGAUCGCGUCUCGCAUAAUAGAGAAGGAGU